GCGCCCGUAGCUCAGCUGGAUAGAGCAACAGGCUUCGAACCUGUGGGCCGGGAGUUCGAAUCUCUCCGGGCGCGCCA
rnacentral:tRNA from 1 species